rnacentral:tmRNA from 1 species
GGGGGUGUACCGGUUUCGACGGAGUGCGUGAGCUAUCACCUGCCAUUCGAGGUUGAUCGAACGGCCUCGUAAAAAUUCGAUCAAAAAACAACUGCUAACGAAAACUUAGCACUCGCUGCCUAAUUAGCUGCGACGGUUCCCGGUAAAUUCCGCCAGUAAGAUACCGACGAACUGCCGAUUAAACUGGCUGGAUGUUCCGGGAGGCCACUGGCCCGGAACGUCGAGAAACACCAGAGGGAUCGGGUGAGUAGUAUCUGGUCCGCGAGUUGCGAAAGCCUUAAAUUUAAAGAUCGCGGAACAUAAUGGUAGACGGUGCUUGUGAUCCUCUUCGGACAGGGGUUCGAUUCCCCUCACCUCCAUGU